UACGUAGGGUGCGAGCGUUAAUCGGAAUUACUGGGCGUAAAGCGUGCGCAGGCGGUGAGCUGUGUCCGAUGUGAAAGCCCCGGGCUUAACCUGGGAAUGGCAUUGGAAACUGGCUCGCUGGAGUGUGGCAGAGGGGGGUGGAAUUCCCGGUGUAGCGGUGAAAUGCGUAGAGAUCGGGAGGAAUACCGGUGGCGAAAGCGACUCUCUGGACGGCAACUGACGCUGAGGCACGAAAGCGUGGGGAGCAAACAGG
rnacentral:rRNA from 1 species